rnacentral:rRNA from 1 species
GAUGAACGCUGGCGGCGUGCCUAAUACAUGCAAGUCGAGCGAACGGACGAGAAGCUUGCUUUUCUGAUGUUAGCGGCGGACGGGUGAGUAACACGUGGAUAACCUACCUAUAAGACUGGGAUAAAUUCGGGAAACCGGAGCUAAUACCGGAUAAUAUUUUGAACCGCAUGGUUCAAAAGUGAAAGACGGUCUUGCUGUCACUUAUAGCUGGAUCCGCGCUGCAUUAGCUAGUUGGUAAGGUAACGGCUUACCAAGGCAACGAUGCAUAGCCGACCUGAGAGGGUGAUCGGCCACACUGGAACUGAGACACGGUCCAGACUCCUACGGGAGGCAGCAGUAGGGAAUCUUCCGCAAUGGGCGAAAGCCUGACGGAGCAACGCCGCGUGAGUGAUGAAGGUCUUCGGAUCGUAAAACUCUGUUAUUAGGGAAGAACAUAUGUGUAAGUAACUGUGCACAUCUUGACGGUACCUAAUCAGAAAGCCACGGCUAACUACGUG